UACCGAAACGUUGUUUUCCUGUCACAUCUUUGCUGUUUCCUUGUAUGUCAUUACUAACGUUUUUUAAGUUACAAAAUGUAACUCUAUUUAAAGCAGAUAAAUAUAUACUUCAUCCCAUUAUUAUUAAUGCUUACGUUAUGCCUGAAUCAGCUGCAUCAGAAUUUCAUGUGUCUAAUUCUGAAUGUACAGUUGCCUAGUUGUUUCUGCGGCUACUAGAUGGCGCUCGUAGCAACACCGUGUUUACUUGCCCACACUUUCUAAAGUGGACACCACAGUCUUGUCGUAACCCUUGUUCACAGUACGAGCAGCCCUUAGCGGCUCGCCGUCUCACAAGUGUUCAUGACGUCGCCUUUCCGGCUUAGAUCUUUAACAUUCUGGCUGAAAAUAAAAUCAUCUUCAUGAACUUUUAAAAGAUGAAAACUUCAAUCAUUCUUGGUGUACUGCAUAUGCUGUUCGGAGUUCUUCUGAGUCUUUGGAAUCACUUGUGAGGUUUCACAGCAGGCCCUGCGUGUGCUCCAUCAAUGUUAAUCACUUUCAUCAAUAUGGUAUUGUUCAAAGGUAGUGUUCCUCCCAAAGGUUGUGAUGAGUUCAUGUAUAGUGGACAGAAAGGCUUGCAGAGGUUCUUUGUUGUUCUUUCUCUACUAUGUGUUGCUUGGAUGCUUCUUGCAAAACCCACUGUUUUGAUAAUGAGGCACUGCAAAGCCCACCAAACGCUUUCAAGCCAUCUCGUACCUGCAGAGAACGGCAUGGAUGUGGAGGUGGGAUCGAUGUCAGGGACAGCACACAAGGACAGUGCAGAUGGGGCUCCCGCACCACGGAGCAGUGAAGACCACAACCUUGGAGAAAUCUUCAUCCAUCAGGGCAUCCACACAAUAGAGUACGUGCUAGGCUCUGUCUCUCACACUGCCUCUUAUCUGUGACUUUGGGCACUGUCACUGGCGCACGUCCGGUCCUGUGCCUCUGUUGGCAGAAAUGUGUCUAGCUCCAACUACAGCCCCGUGGUCAGAGUUUAAUUCCUGUCAUGCAGCUGUAAUCACAUUGGACAUGUUUUUAACAAGAAUCACCAGAGUACAAAAGAUGGCCCCACCAAUGCACUGGCCUUUUGCACCUCCUGUAUGUGGUACUGCUGCCGUCUGUAUAUGUGCACACCAUUGCCCCGUGACUUCUGUCGUCUCAGUGUAUACAGCAAGUGUAAUCUGUUCAUGCAAUGAGUGGGGUGCCAUUUGUCUUUGGUUGAUCUGAAGCACUCACUAAUUUUGUGUCGGUGAGUAUCUACACUGUCUCGAUGCUGUGCUUUCAAAGAAUGUGGCCGAUUCCGUCCGUCACCCUGUGGAUAUACAUCAGAAAUGCUGCGACUGGAAUUUCUCCUUUGAAGGUCUCAUUUUGCCAGGUAUUGUGGUUUACCACAUUAAUCCUUCAUGAAACAUCCAUUGUGUUUCAAAAAUUGUCUUGCAUUGGAGCUGAUGUGGCCUUUUUCACUUGUUAAAAGUAUGGUGAUCAUAUGAUGAUUCUAGAGGUUACGUAAAUACCAAGCUAUAACAGUAGGUUUGCAAUAUGUGAUAUAGCACAUAGUACAGUAAGUUACUGCAAAUGUUGAGUUAUCUGAAAAAUCAAUUACCUGAAUGCUAAA